CUGCAAUAAACAUUCAUUGCUGUCGGUGGGUUUCUGAUCUUAAUCAACUCACUGAUCAAUGAAUGCAAACUGCGG
rfam:Sarcophilus harrisii ctg7180002489534, whole genome shotgun sequence.